CCUGGUAGUCCACACUGUAAACGAUGAAUGCUAGGUGUAGGGGGUAUCGACCCCUUCUGUGCCGCAGUCAACACAAUAAGCAUUCCGCCUGGGGAGUACGGCCGCAAGGUUGAAACUCAAAGGAAUUGACGGGGGCCCGCACAAGCAGCGGAGCAUGUGGUUUAAUUCGACGCAACGCGAAGAACCUUAC
rnacentral:rRNA from 1 species